UACGUAGGGGGCUAGCGUUGUCCGGAAUCAUUGGGCGUAAAGCGCGUGUAGGCGGUCCGGUAAGUCCGCUGUGAAAGUCGGGGGCUCAACCCUCGAAAGCCGGUGGAUACUGUCGGGCUAGAGUACGGAAGAGGCGAGUGGAAUUCCUGGUGUAGCGGUGAAAUGCGCAGAUAUCAGGAGGAACACCAAUUGCGAAGGCAGCUCGCUGGGACGUUACUGACGCUGAGACGCGAAAGCGUGGGGAGCGAACAGG
rnacentral:rRNA from 1 species